GGGCAUGUAGUGUAGGGGUUAUCGCGCCUCAUUCGCAAAGGCCAAGUCCACUUGGUCACGUGACUUGUCUUGAGGAGGUCUCCGGUUCAAUUCCGGACUUGUCCA